GACGAACGCUGGCGGCGUGCUUAACACGUGCAAGUCGAACGAUGAAGAAAAGAAUUGAAGCUUCGGCAGAAAUUCAUUUCGGAUUAGUGGCAGACGGGUGAGUAACGCGUGAGCAACCUACCUCUUACAAAGGGAUAGCCUCGGGAAACCGGGAUUACUACCAUAUAACAUUGCGACGAAGCAUUUCGAUGCAAUCAAAGCUACGGCGGUAAGAGAUGGGCUCGCGUCCCAUUAACCAGAUGGUGAGGUAACGGCUCACCAUAGUAACGAUGGGUAACCGGCCUGAGAGGGUGAACGGUCACACUGGAACUGAGACACGGUCCAGACUCCUACGGGAGGCAGCAGUGGGGAAUAUUGCACAAUGGAGGGAACUCUGAUGCAGCGACGCCGCGUGAGUGAUGAAGGAAUUCGUUUCGUAAAACUCUGUUCUAUGGGAGGAAAAGGACUGUACCAUAGGAGAAAGCUCCGGCUAAAUACGUG
rnacentral:rRNA from 1 species